GAGUCUAUGAACUGUGAGCGAUUUUAUCUCGGAACCCUGUGACAUAAAUAAUCAACAAUUUCUAGAUUUUAAUGAUAAAAUUAAAAAAAUAAUGGAAAAAAAACACGCGACCGGUUAUUUUUUAGUACUUCCGGGGUGACUGUCAUGGCGGCGCCCAUAACGCUCUAGCGAAAGGAAUCUAAACACGUUCAUGAAAUAAUAAAACGCUGUGGAGCGAAGCAGCCAUGAAGUUCAAAGAUCUGCUGAAGUGGAACGCCAGAGUAUCCGCCGUGUACGCGAUUGGUAUUUGGACCAUGGUCGGCUCGUACGCUUACCUGAAAUACACAGGUCGCUGCGAGGUCGCGCCAGUGAAAAAAGAAGAAGUGGAAGAGCCGCAGGAUCCAAACCAGGUGGUCUACAAGACGGCACACGCCAAAACUGUCAUCACCUAUAAGAAAGACUUUGUCCCGUACACCACAAGGAUCUAUAAUCUCAUCUCAUCCUUCAGCAGCGAUCGAGGGGCUGGAGACGACAACAAAUGAACCUCUCCAGUUAAUAUUUAUGUAUUUCUGUGAGGACAUUAUAAUGUUUUUGUUUUUUAAGGAAACUCCAGCUGCGUGUCCACCUGUCCUGCUCUGAUGGCCUCAGCCAGCUUUUAGUAUCAAACUGUAAGCAGUAUUCAGUACUGUUCUGUAAUUCAGAUGCUCGUGGUGUGUAAAUAAACCCUCAAAAUGCAGAAAUCUGUUUCAGUAGAAAGAUUAAAGGUUCAUCUGUGAUUCAUGUUAUAGGUUGGAACAGGAUUUGGGGCCUAGUGAUGUUUAAUCCUGGAUUUUCAGUGUGACAGAGGUCGUUUACUUUUUACCUUAUGUUUGAUGAGUGAUGUCAACAGUUGUGAAGUCACCACCAGCUGACCAGUCAGUUCUCUGGAAAAUAAAACCACGACUCCAAGAAGAUCCUUCAGACCACAGAGCUCAGAUUAUAAUAAGAUGUAAAGUUUUUCAACAGCAUUUAAAGUCUUGGUCUUUCCAUGAUAAGCAUCAAUAAGAAAUACGCACUGGAGCCUUGGUCUACACCACAGGCCAGCAAGACAGUUUUCGGCCACCUGGGAUACCGAGUGGCUGAAAACAAAGAGGGAAGAGAAACUCCACGGAUGCACGUGAAAUGUGACUGAACUGUUUAGUGAGCAGGUUAUGUUGUUCUCACUGUUUAUUAAGAUGAAUGAAGUCUGUCUAAAGCAGUAAUGUUGAUUUUGAAUCAAUACAAGCCAUCUGUUUUAAGGCCG
ensembl:lncRNA